rnacentral:rRNA from 1 species
UACGUAGGGGGCAAGCGUUGUCCGGAUUUAUUGGGCGUAAAGAGCGUGUAGGCGGCUUGGUAGGUCCGCUGUGAAAACUCGAGGCUCAACCUCGAGAUGUCGGCGGAAACCACUUGGCUAGAGUCCGGAAGAGGAGAGUGGAAUUCCCGGUGUAGCGGUGAAAUGCGCAGAUAUCGGGAAGAACACCUAUGGCGAAGGCAGCUCUCUGGGACGGUACUGACGCUGAGACGCGAAAGCGUGGGGAGCGAUCCGG